UACGCUGCGGAUGCUUACACAUGCAUGUCACUCUGACUCCGGAUUGGCUGGCUUACUUGCUAACAACCGGCAGACAGCUUGACUCACGCCUGGGGACCUGGUUUGUGGACGGGGACUACUACCGGAUACUGUGACUAUUUCCCCUCAUUGGCUUAUGACUGCUAGGUGCGCUCGGAGAGACGCCUUGCCGUCCCAUUAGCUCCUUGGAGAUGAAGCGGCUCGCCGAGGCAAAUGAUCGCCAGCCCCCCUGUCUCGGUGAUCUCUCACAAGGCGACCGACCCCCCUGCCUCUCUCCCACGGGACGCACUCCUGCGGAAUGUUGCACUGUGGACCAUUACUCUGAUCCGGCAAUCUCUGUGUUGCACCAUGACGCUUUUCUGAAUGAAGACUGCUUUCUUGUGGGAAUCAUUCAAUGACGAUGCCGGCGAAUGAUUUGACAGAUCAAUCCAUUGCCGCUGCCCCCGUAAU
rnacentral:rRNA from 1 species